AAAAUUCUUUUUGUUUACUUUAAUAUCUGUACAAUCCACGUGCGUAAAAACGACUUUUCACCUUUUUCCCAACAGUGCGAAUCCAAAGCCGUUCGACUCGAAGCACAGUGAGCUCUUCUCAAUGCACUAAAGUCGUUGCUCUUCAGCAACUCGUAUUUUUAUCCCUAAAAAGAGCAGUUCUAUUCAUUCACGAACACGACGGAGGCUACACGAACCCUUAUUUCAAAGAAAUCAAAAUCCACCCCCACAAAGACAUAGCACAAGAAAACUGGAAACAACCUAAAGGUCAAAGGUUCUCAGAGACCUAAGGAGAUCCCUGAAACCCCAAGUGUGAGGAUCCCCCGCGGGGAUACCCUGCCCCCGCACCCCUACUCUCUUCUACAUUAUAACCACUGCGUAGGUCGCUGCCCACGGUCCUGUCGGAUGUGGAGAACCCCCUUGCAGUCGUCCCCGCCUCCGCGCCGUUGUUGGCAGCGGCCCCGGAGCCACAGCGCUGCCGGCGGGGGAGAGAGGUUCUCAUAAAAGGAGGCUUCUAUUGGAUUUUAAAUGGACUCUCCAGAGGGACUUUGGAGAUCACAGUUGCCAGCUCAUGCAGCGCCGGUAAAGUGAUGCUGUGUAAUGUAAAACCCUGAGCGUCUCCUCAGGUUUGUGCUGUCGUGUCGGCGCCCUCCGCUGCUCUCUGGAGAUUUAGAGGCCAUGGAGGCAGUCUGUGAUCCCAACCGGCAGCCCGAACUACCACAUGGGAUUUAUUUCCUAGCUGGACGGGUGGGCGGCCUGGGAGGAUACUGAUUUUAGCCCAGUGUCUGAAGCUGUCAACGCCAUUAAAGCAACCGAACCAUACUUCCCUUGCCUUCCCUAAACACUUUACUUCACUGUUCUUAAUGGACAAAGUGAACAUGCACUCACACAUUUCCGUUCAAAAGUUUGGGAUCGGCAAGAUUUUUUAAAUGUUUUUGAAAGAAGUCUCUUAGGUUGCAAUUAUUGGACUAAAAAUACAGUGAAAACAUUUACAAUGUGAAAUAUACUACAGUUUAAAAUAGCUGUUUUAAUAUAUUUUAAAAUGUCAUUUAUUCCUGUGAUGCAAAGCUGAAUUUUCAGCAUCAUUACUCCAGUCUUCAGUGUCACAUGAUCUUUCAGAAAUCAUUUUAAUAUGCUAAGCAGCUUUGUUUAUUAUUGUCUGU